rnacentral:rRNA from 1 species
AGAGUUGAUCAUGGCUCAGGAUGAACGCUGGCGGCGUGCCUAACACAUGCAGGUCGAGCGAUUACUUCGGUAAAGAGCGGCGGACGGGUGAGUAACGCGUGGGUAACCUGCCUCAUACACAUGGAUAACAUACCGAAAGGUAUGCUAAUACAGGAUAAUAUAAGAGAUUCACAUGGAUUUCUUAUCAAAGCUCCGGCGGUAUGAGAUGGACCCGCGUCUGAUUAGCUAGUUGGUAAGGUAAUGGCUUACCAAGGCGACGAUCAGUAGCCGACCUGAGAGGGUGAUCGGCCACAUUGGAACUGAGACACGGUCCAAACUCCUACGGGAGGCAGCAGUGGGGAAUAUUGCACAAUGGGCGAAAGCCUGAUGCAGCAACGCCGCGUGAGUGAUGAAGGCCUUCGGGUCGUAAAACUCUGUCCUCAAGGAAGAUAAUGACGGUACUUGAGGAGGAAGCCCCGGCUAACUACGUGCCAGCCGCGGC